AGUUAUCUUCAGGGCAGGGCGUAAAUCCCUACCGGCGGUAUAGCCCGCGAGCCGUAAGGCAUGAUUCGGUGAAAUUCCGAGGCCGACAGUAUAGUCUGGAUGAAAGAAGGUAUUA
rnacentral:ncRNA from 1 species